rnacentral:lncRNA from 1 species
UAACUCUUGACAAGGUUACCAAUGAUUUCCAUGUUCCUAAAUCCCACACUCAAUUCUCAGUCCUCAUAUUAUUUUCCUAUAAGCUGCAUUUGACAUAAUUUGAUCAUUUACUCCUUGGCUUCUGUCUCCUUCCCUUUUGGCUGCUUUUUCUUGGCAUACUUUGCUUGAUCAUCCUUAUCAUCCAGAUAUCUUGAGUGUUGGAACCCCCGGUGGCUUAGUUCUAGAAUUUUUUCCUUAUAUUUUCUUAUUGCAAGGCAUGUGACUUUCUGCUUGAGGACUUUCUCUGGCCACAGGAGUGUGCUCUACCUGUAACUCGGGUGGGCUGCCACUGAAAUUUAGUACUGUUAGAUCAGCCCUUAAUCAAUAAUUGACAGAAAUUAGUGGAUAAAUAUCCCGACUUCUUUACUGCUUCAGAGAGAUGACAUUAGGACAUGUUCUAUAGUUUCUUGGAAUUCUCCUUCAGCUGGAUCGAGCUUCAGUUGCACACAGAAGUAAACUUUUUGUUUAUUAAUGCAUGCUGUAUUGGCUUUCUUCCCUUUUCUGUCUCACUUCUCUAUUUUCCAAUUGGUGCUUCCUGGGGUCACCUCUUGUUUAAACUUGGGCAUUUAAACUUGGAUAUUAAACAGAUUCUGAGACAGAGAUGUGUGUGCAAGAGGUUUAUUGAGGAGUGAUCUCAGGAAUGACAUUAGUAAAGUUGUGAGAGAAGCAGGAUUGGUCACAGGGAGAAGCCGAACUACAAUGCAAAAGAACCAUUGGUAUUAGCUGACUCUGUGGGGAGCUUUAUAACUAGGAUGUCCUUCAGAGUUAAGGCAAAAGGGUCAGGGGCUUGUAUCUUGCAUAGACCAGUCAUUGUAUGCAACUUGUCCCUGGGAAGGGGCUAUAACCUAGACAAGAUAGCUCUUAUUGGCUAAGGGCAAUGUUCAGAGAAGGACUCAGCAGUGAGCCAUCAGCAGCAAUACUCCUGACAACUGGGAAAAUGAGCAAUGGCUUCACUGCUCAGGUGAUUAUCCUGAACCAUCCAGG